rnacentral:hammerhead_ribozyme from 1 species
AUCCAGUUGACGAGUCCGAAAUAGGACAAAACGCACGUUGUCUUGGAU